UGGAAAGGCGCGCGAUACAGGGUGACAGCCCCGUACACAAAAAUGCACAUAUUGUGAGCUCGAUGAGUAGGGCGGGACACGUGGUAUCCUGUCUGAAUAUGGGGGGACCAUCCUCCAAGGCUAAAUACUCCUGACUGACCGAUAGUGAACCAGUACCGUGAGGGAAAGGCGAAAAGAACCCCGGCGAGGGGAGUGAAAAAGAACCUGAAACCGUGUACGUACAAGCAGUGGGAGCCUCUUUAUGGGGUGACUGCGUACCUUUUGUAUAAUGGGUCAGCGACUUAUAUUCUGUAGCAAGGUUAACCGAAUAGGGGAGCCGAAGGGAAACCGAGUCUUAACUGGGCGUUAAGUUGCAGGGUAUAGACCCGAAACCCGGUGAUCUAGCCAUGGGCAGGUUGAAGGUUGGGUAACACUAACUGGAGGACCGAACCGACUAAUGUUGAAAAAUUAGCGGAUGACUUGUGGCUGGGGGUGAAAGGCCAAUCAAACCGGGAGAUAGCUGGUUCUCCCCGAAAGCUAUUUAGGUAGCGCCUCGUGAACUCAUCUCGGGGGGUAGAGCACUGUUUCGGCAAGGGGGUCAUCCCGACUUACCAACCCGAUGCAAACUGCGAAUACCGGAGAAUGUUAUCACGGGAGACACACGGCGGGUGCUAACGUCCGUCGUGAAGAGGGAAACAACCCAGACCGCCAGCUAAGGUCCCAAAGUCAUGGUUAAGUGGGAAACGAUGUGGGAAGGCCCAGACAGCCAGGAUGUUGGCUUAGAAGCAGCCAUCAUUUAAAGAAAGCGUAAUAGCUCACUGGUCGAGUCGGCCUGCGCGGAAGAUGUAACGGGGCUAAACCAUGCACCGAAGCUGCGGCAGCGACACUAUGUGUUGUUGGGUAGGGGAGCGUUCUGUAAGCCUGUGAAGGUGUACUGUGAGGUAUGCUGGAGGUAUCAGAAGUGCGAAUGCUGACAUAAGUAACGAUAAAGCGGGUGAAAAGCCCGCUCGCCGGAAGACCAAGGGUUCCUGUCCAACGUUAAUCGGGGCAGGGUGAGUCGACCCCUAAGGCGAGGCCGAAAGGCGUAGUCGAUGGGAAACAGGUUAAUAUUCCUGUACUUGGUGUUACUGCGAAGGGGGGACGGAGAAGGCUAUGUUGGCCGGGCGACGGUUGUCCCGGUUUAAGCGUGUAGGCUGGUUUUCCAGGCAAAUCCGGAAAAUCAAGGCUGAGGUGUGAUGACGAGGCACUACGGUGCUGAAGCAACAAAUGCCCUGCUUCCAGGAAAAGCCUCUAAGCAUCAGGUAACAUCAAAUCGUACCCCAAACCGACACAGGUGGUCAGGUAGAGAAUACCAAGGCGCUUGAGAGAACUCGGGUGAAGGAACUAGGCAAAAUGGUGCCGUAACUUCGGGAGAAGGCACGCUGAUAUGUAGGUGAAGUCCCUCGCGGAUGGAGCUGAAAUCAGUCGAAGAUACCAGCUGGCUGCAACUGUUUAUUAAAAACACAGCACUGUGCAAACACGAAAGUGGACGUAUACGGUGUGACGCCUGCCCGGUGCCGGAAGGUUAAUUGAUGGGGUUAGCGCAAGCGAAGCUCUUGAUCGAAGCCCCGGUAAACGGCGGCCGUAACUAUAACGGUCCUAAGGUAGCGAAAUUCCUUGUCGGGUAAGUUCCGACCUGCACGAAUGGCGUAAUGAUGGCCAGGCUGUCUCCACCCGAGACUCAGUGAAAUUGAACUCGCUGUGAAGAUGCAGUGUACCCGCGGCAAGACGGAAAGACCCCGUGAACCUUUACUAUAGCUUGACACUGAACAUUGAGCCUUGAUGUGUAGGAUAGGUGGGAGGCUUAGAAGUGUGGACGCCAGUCUGCAUGGAGCCGACCUUGAAAUACCACCCUUUAAUGUUUGAUGUUCUAACGUUGACCCGUAAUCCGGGUUGCGGACAGUGUCUGGUGGGUAGUUUGACUGGGGCGGUCUCCUCCUAAAGAGUAACGGAGGAGCACGAAGGUUGGCUAAUCCUGGUCGGACAUCAGGAGGUUAGUGCAAUGGCAUAAGCCAGCUUGACUGCGAGCGUGACGGCGCGAGCAGGUGCGAAAGCAGGUCAUAGUGAUCCGGUGGUUCUGAAUGGAAGGGCCAUCGCUCAACGGAUAAAAGGUACUCCGGGGAUAACAGGCUGAUACCGCCCAAGAGUUCAUAUCGACGGCGGUGUUUGGCACCUCGAUGUCGGCUCAUCACAUCCUGGGGCUGAAGUAGGUCCCAAGGGUAUGGCUGUUCGCCAUUUAAAGUGGUACGCGAGCUGGGUUUAGAACGUCGUGAGACAGUUCGGUCCCUAUCUGCCGUGGGCGCUGGAGAACUGAGGGGGGCUGCUCCUAGUACGAGAGGACCGGAGUGGACGCAUCACUGGUGUUCGGGUUGUCAUGCCAAUGGCACUGCCCGGUAGCUAAAUGCGGAAGAGAUAAGUGCUGA
rnacentral:rRNA from 1 species